UUCCACCAAAAAAUAAAAGAAAUGAAAAAAAAUUAACUUAAUUAAUGUUCAUGUUGUGUCGGCAACACACGGUGCGAAUGCUUGCAAUGUGGGUUGCUGAAUUGUAAAAUGUCAAACUUUUGGAAAAUUACGUGCCCAUAAUGAACUACUUUUUGUACUAUGAAAGAACAAUUGUCUUGAGAACAUCGCGAAGUGUGUAUUGAAGUUUCGUUGCCUUUCUGAUAACUCGAAAAGUGACAUCCGCAAAUUUGUUGUGCCCUUUAUGUUUGAAAUUUUCUCGCUUAUUUAAUGUACCCGCGUUUAUUGAAACAACUCUUGAUAGUGUUGAUAACUGAUAGAGACAGUGGUUUAGAAUUAGUUUACUUCGAUUGAAGUGUUAAGAAGGAUUAACAUCCAGUGAAUGGAAAUCACCUUUGAGGGAUCCCUCCAUGCCAACGAAUUCAAGGAAGCCCCCAACAUCAUUGGCUUUCGACAAGAUGAUGGAAUUUCUUCACGGCACUCAUAGAAUUUGGAGACGGACGAAGAAUAUUUGGACGAUGAAUAAAUAAGGAAUUCUGGGGGUGUACGGCAGACUUUCUGAAAAGUCCAUUGGUAGAUUCCAGAACCAGUCAGCCUUUACAUUGCUUAAGGUAUUGAAGAUCAGCUGAUGAAUGUUUAAAUUUAACACCUCUUUCAAAGGGGUUCCAUUUGUAGUUUGGGUAAUUUCAUCAAGGCUACAUUUGCAGCUAUUGCAAAAACUUACGCUUACUUAACCACUGAUUUGUGGCCUGAAAAUGUUCCGACUAAAACACCUUAUCAGGAGUUCUCACACUUUUUAUCUACUGUAAAGCCUAAAAUUCCAGAAUAAUUUUUUUAUGAUAAGAACAGAAGAUGUGACGAACGCACUGCUCUUCACUAAUAUACUUCAUGGCAUAUAAUUUAAUUGAAAAUGGGGAAUAUUUAAUCGAUCCCAAGUUUGGAUGCUCUAGUUACGAGCUGCUUGAAGGAUCCUUUUGCUGUCUUACGAGGAAAGUUGCCUCCAUGGAUCAAAUAUGUGAUAGAUCAUUGUCCAUUCAUUUUCUCCUCGAGAACAAGGAUAUUUGCAUUCAGAGUCCUAAAUCUGGAGAGAACCAGAGCUUCUUUUAACGUGAUGGAUAGAAAAAUGGAAUAUGUCGCAUAUUUUGGUAGUCUUUAACACACUUCUGUCUUUUAAAAUUCGAAAGAAAAACAUUCUCACCGAAUUGAUUAAGGUAAGUGAAAUAAAGUUGAAAAUAAAAUUUACUUUGAGAAUU